rnacentral:lncRNA from 1 species
UUUCAACAACUUUGACUCAUCAAAUCACCUCGCAUUGCUCAGGUAAGUCCAUAUAUAUAUUGAUUGUAGAUAUAAUUUGUGAGAAGAAAUUGCAAAAAUAAUUGUGCGGAUCUUGAAAUUAAGUUUUGCAUUAAUAUGGCAGGGUAUAUAUAUAUCGAUGGGUAAGAUGAUGAGGAUGGUUUUAUUGGUAAUGAUGGUGGUAGCUAUGAUGAGCACUUGCACGGUGGAAGGCAGGAGAAUUUCGGCGGCGGUGGAGGUGGCGGUGGCGGAGCAGGAGGAUGAUGGAGUGGAUAGUGGUUUGGAGGAUAACCACCAUGCUUACUCCAUACCUGACUUCAACAGGCAAGGUGGAAAACCUCCCACCAAAAACUGAUUAAUUGCUCUCUCUUUCUCUCCAAUUAUAUAUAUAUAUAUAUAUGUGUGUGUGUGUGUGUUACUGUGUGUGUAUAGAGACUAGUAGUUUGUGUAUGUGUGGAAAUUAAUAAGCUGCUCCGGAGAUCCGUCUUCUCUUGUAUAAAUAGCAUGUUCGGCGUGAUGACGAGCCAUAUAUAUGUAUAGCUACGUUCCAACACCAGCUCUCUCUCUCUCUCUCACACACACACAUACAUAUAUACGGACAAUAAAGGAUAAAAUAGGAAAAACUUUGCUUCUUAUCGAACAGCUGAUCUGCUGAUAUUAAACAAGCAUUUGCACUUGAAAUUAAAUAAAGCAUAUGGAAAUAUAUACGAGGACUUGAAAGCUUAAAGAGAAAUCUAAUGAAAUAUUUAUAUCAUUACUUUGGUUUUCUAAAAAAUAUGAAUAAAUUUAAGUCACGGUUUCAAUUAUCCUGAUAGCGUUGAUUUACUCUUAUCCGUCUGCAUCUUCAUUUAAAAGGAGUUUACUUUGAAUUAGAGAUAUUAAGUGGGCCAGACCGACCCAAACCCAUCAUGGGCCGACUUCGGCCUGAGCUGAUAGAAAAGGGUGAUUCUAUUCAUAGCCUCAUUUUUACUCUUUAUAGCCUCUUAAUUAAAAUAUAUUAAAAAUAAUAAUUUAUAUACUAGUUUACCCUCGUAGUCAUACCUCCCAAAUUCAAUUCUUCAUCUCACGAAUUUCGUAGCCCCCAAAUUCCAAGAUACAUGAAGUCUGCAAAAUUGAUAAAUGUAAAACACAUUAUAAAACUUAUUGUGCAUUAAAUGCACAGAGGAAGUGAGAUGAAGACUCAUUGCUGGGUUUGAGCAACUAAUUCUAAUUUUACAGAGCACUCCCCCAACAUCGAAGGCAAAUACACAUACAGAUACAGAUGAAUAUUGCUUUCACAAAAAUAAAAUGUUUAUUAAUCAAAUAAAAAUUGAAUCUUGUUUAUUUUCUCAGUAUAUUAUUGAAAUUGUAGUAGACAUACAUCUGUGAACAUCGAGAAGUGCUCCUAAAAUUCACAGAGUGAGAGAGAUGCCGCUCCUGACUUUCCGCCAUUGAUGGAUGAAGAAAUGAACUCCCACAAAUUAUGCUAAAUUCACAAUUGCAAUUAUUCAAUAUGAAAUCAACCCAUAUCAACACAAUUUCAAGGGGCUCGAUUAUCUUCUUAUCGCUUUUUAUUCCGACGACUUUCCACUUCUUCUUCUUCUUCUUCUCCUCUUUUUCUUUUUCCAGAUACGAGGUUCCUUUUGGGAAUAUUGGUGGCUCUAGGGUUCUAAGGAUUUUUUAGGAAUUUAAUGGUAGAUUAAGGAUAAAAUAGUAUAUUCCUUAACUUUUGUAUUUUAUUUUUUUUAAAAGGCUAUAAAGAGUAAAAAUGGGGCUAUGAAUAGAAUUACCCGAUAGAAAAAUGAGGCAGAAUUGGGUUGGCCCAAUCAUUUAAGACGGGCACCAAUUGAGCCAUUUAUCAACCUCCAGCCUUGCCGUGGCCUGAAGGCCCAAUGAAAUACCAUUAAAAAUAUACUUUAACAAUAUAGUAUAUUGUAAUAUUUAUUAAAUAUAAAUUCAUAUAGUAAUUAUCUUUUUCUAAUAAAUUUAUCUUUCGAUAAUCUAAAUUUAAAUUUAUUGAGUCUUGUCAAUUAACCUUAUAGAUUAUUAUUCAGACUUAAUUGUCUUUCAUUCAUUGAAUUUAAGAUAAGACUAGAAACGAGAAGUCAAGAAUGCAUCUUUUUAAAAGUUACGAAGACAAUCAAAAUAAAAAUUGUGCAGAAGAUAGAAACUAAAUAGAAAGUGUGUAGAAAAUAUAAAAAAUAAAAUAAUUCAAUAACUAGAAAGUAAAACUCCGAAGUAAAAGAAAAAAAAAUCAUAUAAAAUUUUACUUAUAUAAGCCUCAAAUAAAUUCAAAACCUAAUGUAAAUUGUGCACAAAAAUCAAAAUAAGUAGUCCAACCAACUGACCAAGCCCUAACCAGUAACCACUUACCAAAUGGGCCAUGGAUAAGCUUAGUCUCACGCCAUAAUGGAAUUGGCCGGGCCUUGGUCAAACCAGCUCUCAUUCCUUGCAAGUCAGGGCAUGGACCGAGGCGGUCCGAUUCAAUUGACAACUCUCCUUUGAACGAUAGGAUAAAUUGAUAAAAUAUAGUAUUAUUGAAUAUUUGAAGGAUAAAAUAUUAAAAUAGUGCAAAUUCAUUUAUCUAUCAAAGGAAAUGGAGAUUAAUUUUGAAUUACUUUUAUCUAUCUAAUAUUUCAAUUCAAAUAAUCAUAUCUAACCAUUUUUUUGCUGAUUUCAUACCCACCGAGUAUAGUUGUUUUUUCUUCUUUUAGGCAUACCAAGUACGAUUGUUAGGCCCCAACUCCCACGUAUGGCCUGGCCCAACUAAUAGACAACAUUUCACAUUUUGUAGAAGUAUUGUUUUGGUCAUGUUAAUUCAUAUAGUCCGUCUCACAAAAACAUGAACAGUUGUAAUUGACACGAAUUUUAAGAAAUACUCCCUCCGUCCCACUUCAAUAGGUUCGUUUUCUUUUUUGGGAUGUUCCACUCCAAUAAACUCAUUUUUCAUUUUAAGUAAAAAAAAAAUGUACUUAAUUGGUGUGGACCACACCACUUUUCUACUAAAAAGUAAGUUUUCUUAAUUUGUGUGUCCAAAAGAAGUGAGCCUAUUGGAGUGAGACGGAAAGAGUAUUAGAUAAAACUGUAUUGUGAAUGAAAAAGGAAUCCCACUUUAUAAAAAGUAGAGAUGAAAAGUAAAUGAAUUGUGGUGGAAUAUCAAAAUAGAAAUGCUCAUGUUUUUUGUGUAACGCUCCAAACUAGCUAAAUGUUCAAGUUUUUGUUUUCAAAUUUUUGUUUGAUCAUGCAUGACUAUAUUUUUAUGAAGCAGCACUUUAAAGUAGUCAAUGACACAUCAUAAGAAAUUAUAGCCAUAUAAAUGUAAAUAUAAAUAUAAUUAUUAUUUUUAUCUUAAUAUUUUUAGGUGAAAAAAUCGAUAAAUGACACAAAAAAAUGUAUAAAUUCACGUAAUAAUUUAUAUUGUUACACAAAUUUUGAUUAGCCUAAAAAAUCCGCAUAAAGUAUGUAAGCAUGUAAGGACAUAAUAUUUUAAAAUGACCAUUAUUUUUAUAUGUUUAUGUACAUGAGAAUUUCCUUUUCCUAUAUGGGACAAAUUAAAUUACAUAUAAUUUUAUUUUUUAAUCCUACGUUGUUAUAGUAGAAUUAGAAUGAAUUUAAAAUAGAGGUAUUCACCAUAUUCUUGAUUAAAUUUUUCCAACUUUUGAACUUAUAUGACUAAUGUUUAAACCUGAAACUGCAGCGAGAACAAAAUCUGUGUGUUGAAAUUUUUUAAAAGUUCAAUCUUCAAUAAAAGAAUUCGAGAGGGACGACACGACAACAAUAACAACAACAACAAACAAAAAACAUGACGAUAAUACAAAAAGGAUGGCAGAAAUCCCGCAAUAUAUUAGCCGAGAGAAAGAGAAACUGUUUUCCAAUACAAAACACUGCCACUACGUUGAAAUGUCCCUUUAUCUUACAUUUCUGGAGAAUUAUGAGAGGUAUUUUGCUUUUGCAACUUUCCAUUUUCCUAAACCUUCCUUCCCAAUCUCACCACCUUCUUUAAAUUUUUUCCUUUCAAACAGUAAUUUAUUUCUACCUUAAUUUCUCCAAAGUCUACAUAAAAAUCAUCAGCCAACAAAGUCCCGAAUGAUCUGACCUCCGUAAUGCCUCAUAUGCCUCUCCUGCUGCAUUGCAGGCCGCUGACCGCCCUCGGGGCUUUGCCGGAGACCCAAAGUCAGAG